UACGUAGGGGGCGAGCGUUGUCCGGAUUCAUUGGGCGUAAAGCGCGCGUAGGCGGCUCCGCAAGUCGGCCGUGAAAUCUCCGGGCUCAACUCGGAGGGGUCGGGCGAGACUGCGAGGCUCGAGGUGGGCAGAGGGCAGUGGAAUUCCGGGUGUAGUGGUGGAAUGCGUAGAGAUCCGGAGGAACACCAGUGGCGAAGGCGGCUGCCUGGGCCUAGCCUGACGCUGAGGCGCGAAAGCGUGGGGAGCAAUCCGG
rnacentral:rRNA from 1 species